CCAUCGUAAUUGGACACAUAUUAUUUGGAUCAUAACAAUCUGCAGACACUUGGAAUCGACCAAAUGACCAGGGGAGAAUAAAUGGUAACUCUGCAGAGAGGCAAUGAUAAGGAGUUAAACCUGGAGGUUUCAAUGAACCAGAUUCACACUGUUCCACGGGCUGAGGGAUUGUGUUGCAGAAAUGCAGCAAUGCACCAGUAAAGAAGAAAGAAAUGGAUGUGAACAACGCAGGAUUUGGAAAAAAAUCUGAAAUCAGCUCUGCAAAUGUUGUGAGGGAGAAAACACUGACAACACAUCUGUUGGACCUCAGAUUUACAAGAUUUAUAUUCAAAACUUAUUACCUGUAAAUAAAGUAUGAGGCAUUUCUACAGAUUUAGCCACCCAACAGUAUAUUUAAAAAAUGUUAAUGUAGCUCCCUUUCAGUUUAAUACUGACAGCAGCCAUCACUUUUGACACUGAUCUAAAUAACUGCCCAGAGAAUGUACGCUUUGUUGUACGUCCUUUAAUUUGUAAGGGUGGACAGAAUAAUGAGAACUGCUGCUUAAGGUGGCACCCAGACUGUUCCCCAUUCAGUGUUUUUACAGGUUAUGACAUCAACCGUUCAGCAGCUAAUCAGCCUUUUUAAACAAAAACAGAGCUCUAGAGAGCACUGAGAUGUGGAGUGACAACGUAAUAAGUCCUUUACUGAUUAUAUGAUGUUUUGAUCUUUUUCAAAUUUGAACUCAAGCUAAACACGGUCCUUAAACUGUAACAUGAUGCUAUAGACAACCAAUUUAACAUUUUCGGUCAAGCUUCAAACACUUGAGUGUGGUAUUGAUAAGGAACCACACUCUCUUAAUUUCACAGUAAAGUUAACCAUUUGGACUGCGUUGUUUUUAAUCCAAUAGCAGCAAUAAUUGUAGCUAGACGGGGACAGAGCAGACAUGUUCUCCAAAUGCGUCACAAUUUUGUGACUAAUGAUAACAUCACUGCUGAAGUUUGAUUAUUAGAUUAGAUUUGGCCAAAGCGCUGUGUGAUGUUAUUCCCACACACUGUGUGUUUGUGGGUACAUAGAUCAGUGUGUGUGCUGGCAUGUGUUUCCACUGUGUUAAUUACAUUUUGUAAGUUUCCAAAACUUCUGCCAGUUUCUCUGACUAGCACUCAAAGAAGCUCGCUGUCUUUAUGCAAAUUCAAAGGUGUGUUCUGUCACAACAAGCUGAAAUACAAAAGGUACUUAGCAAGACUUAAUUUAUGAUUAUGGUUUACAGUGGGUAUUGUUUGAAUUUGUACUGCUUGUAAACAUGUAUUUUUGGUUGAGAAAGUCAUGCUGUUUAUUUAAAGAUUUACUACACAAACACAAAUGUAAAUAUUUCAGUUUUCAGUCUUCUAGUCUAAAUCUAAACUGAUUAUUUAUUCAAUCUUCCACUUCCCUCACACAACACACACACAGCAAGAGUGACUAUUCAGUGUGAUUCAUCAGCAUUACCGGCAGAACAGUAACUUUAUUAUAACAGAUCUUAUCUGGUCUGCCCUGCUCACCAUUUGAAAGCCCUGGGUAUUUUUACUCUUUCUUCUCUGUCCAACUUGUGUCCAGAGGGCUUGUGGUGUUGCCGCUUGUUUGCAAAGAGAUAGAGGGGACCAGCCAGAUGGGUAACACACACAGUCUCACACACACACAAACACAGAUGGUCUUGGAGAUAGAGGGAAAAGAGGGAGAUGACUUUUGGAUCAACCUUCAUACACUCUGUGUCUCACCAGCCACACACAUGCACGCACACGGACACAGAGCGCUCAAAAGAGAAGCACAAUCUGGUAUGGACCUUCAUCAAGUCUAGUAUCAGAGUAUAUGCUCGUCAAAAAAUGGGUUUCAUUUUGUUAAAUAUUCUGCACUUAAUUAACUGUGACCUUGAUUUCAUACAACCUACAUAGUUAACACAAGCAAACUCUGCAUGUGAACUUAUAUUGAACACAGUGCAUGUCAGAGAAAAGGCUACUUAAUUUCUGAAUAAAAAGCUGUGAUUUUC